AUUAGUUGUUUACUAAUUAUUUCUUUCUAAUGAUUAACUUGACGAAAACCGUUUAAAUCAUGUGAGAUUAUAAUCAACUGAUUAACUCUAAUUGUCUACAAAAUUAUCCUUUUGUUUUCUUAAUCCUUGUGAUGUUUUUUUCCUCAACAUCAGUUGAUCAACUUGAACUGUUUUCGGUUUUAAUUAAUCUUCCUUAAUUGUUGUUCUUUGUCUCCAAGUGGUCAAUUUAUUAUCAACUGGACAUGUUAUAUUUCUGGGUGAUAAUGUAUAUUAGGAAAUAUCCUGAUUUCUUUUGUUUAAUUGUGUCAACAAAACCAAUAGGAACAUCUCUAAUGGAAACCAUUUCUUUAAAUGUUGAAUUUCUAAUGAGUCUCAUACAUGAUGAUCAACUGUUUUUGGUUACUUAAAUUUCCUUGGUUUCCUUUGAAAAACUCUAAUCACAAUAAUUAACCUCAAAGGACAACUCAUGAAAAGGAAUCGGAAAUGAUGUUACCCUUUUCACACCAAUAAUCUCUCUUUCAAAUAUGAUAACCAUGAAGAUGAUGACAAUUAUAACUCUCAUCAUUAUCAUCAUCAUCAUACGUAUUCAUCUUCCUUGGCAUCAUAAGCAUCAUCUUCAUUUCCGGUAAAAAGGAAUAGGAACACGUUCAAAAUACGAUUUUGGAAGAAAAUGAUUCGCAAGAAUGAAUCUAAUCACAAAUGAUUACAUGAUUUUAAUACUGUAUUCCUGAUGAUCAUCAUCAUGACACCAUUUGUGUAACAACAGUUCCUCUAUCUGCAAUAGUAAUUAGCACAUCUUCAACUAAUAGUCUCAUUUCUUACUAGAUAUACAACUCCCUCUCUAUUCAUACAAUUUCUCUCUCUCUCUCUAUCUUCUAAACCCAUUAUACUCAUCAUCACCGGAAACACAGUUUCUCGUAGGUUAACAUUUCCGGUGAAAAUCUUUUCUUCAUCCUUCAAGCUAAAGUCCUAAAGUUAAAUCUUUUUCCCAGAGCAUUUUCCUCCUCAUCACUUUUUUAUUCUUGGUUUUUCAGAAGAUUGAAAAUUCAUCUCUCUCUCUCUCCCUUUACUAAAGAAGAGAGAUAUCAUCAACCCAUCAUCAUUUCUGUUCUUAAAUAAUCAACAUCAUAAUCACCACCACCGCCGCCAUCAUCAUCAUCAGGCUCAUUUAAGAUGAUCAAAGAUGGUUCAUAUUAACAAAACUAAAGAAAAUGGAUGAGGAUGGAGAAGAAGAAAAUGGAUGAAGGAAAAUGAAGAUAAUGAUGAUGAUCUUCAGUAAGAAAGCAAACAAGGAUAAAGAUAAGAAAGAAGGAGAGAAAUGAAGAGUAAAACGUAAGCGACAAUAAUGGAGAAAGCGAGGCGAUGCUAUUGAUUAUCAUGAUGAAGGAGGAGAAUUGAAAUCAAGGUGAUAAUGACGAUUAAACGAGGAUUUUUAAUGUUUAAUUUUUCAUCUUUUUAAUGAUCUUCAUCUCACCCUUGGAUUAGAAAGAUGAAAUUUCAAUGAAUCUUAGAUACUCCUUGAAGCAAACAGGAACAAGAAUCUUGAUCACCAUCAACAACAUCAUCAUCUCCUUUCAUCAACCUUUUCCAUCCCUAUGGAUAUUAAAAUUCAUCAUCAACUCUCAUCAUCAGUUUCAUAAUCAGGAUCAUCAUCAGUGUGGUUUUCAGGGUAAGAAAAACGCAAUUUAAAUACAAAAAUGCUUCAGGGCUUUUCUGAGGCAAAUUAUUUCGCCUCAUAUUUUUUUUCUCAGAUCACUUUUCAUUAUCAAGAUUUUUUCCUAUUUUCAACCUUUUUUAGCACUUUUUUUAUUUCAUGAUAUCAUAUUAUCAUCACGAUAUAAUGUUAUUAUUUCAACACACUGAUCAAUUUCAUUUCCUCACUAUUACACAAGAGUGAGUGAGAGAGAGAGAGAGAGAGAGAGUAGAGUGAGAUAACAAUGUAAUAACAACAAUGGUUACAUCUCAUCAUCAUCCUCGAAUCAACUAUAAACAAUUUGAUAACAAGAUAAUGGAGGAUAAUCAAGGUUUCCAAAACAUCAUCAUGAAAAAUACAUGAUUAUUAUUCUUAUUAUUAUUAUUGGUUUACUUUUGGUACCAAACCAUUUAUCACGUUAAGACCCACAAGUUUAACUUAUUCAACAUUAUGUUCAAAUUGUUUGAGGUUUUAUAGCCUCAUCAUAAUAAUCAUCAUUCUCAUCAUCAUCACUCCCAUGGAUGGUUCAUCCUCAUCAUAUAAUCAACAACUGUUCAUCUUUUAGCUUUUAUAAAGACACACAGUGAGUGAGAGAGGACAGAAUGAGACAAAUAUACUCUAUCCAAGUCUAUGGAAAAAGACUAAUACUCAAAAAAAGAGAGAUGAUGAAGAAAAAAAACAUUUCCAGGAGACUACAGGGCAUAUUGUGCAUACUCUAUGGCAUAAAAUGAAGAUAAUGAUGAUGAUGAUAACAUAAGCCUCAGUAAAUUGCUGUUACUUUCCAGUUGAUGCUGUUAAUCUGUUAUUCAAUUUGCAUUGAGGUUGCAAACUCUGACAACAUGGUUGCUACCUUAAUGCCAACUCCUCCAAGUGCGUGGAUAUAAAUUAGGAUUGCCUUUUGAAUACCACCAUCCAAAUAGAUAUAAAACCAAUAACCAUUAUCAUUAUAAUUAUUUUGAUAAAACUCGUGAGAUAACAUGAUGGGCCAUGGUGACAUGAAACAGAAUCUGGAGCAGAAAAAAAAUCAGCCAUUUAACUUGGUAAUACUUUACCUUGUAACAAAUUAAUGAAAUUACAUGAUUAUUGCAAUUUAAUUUGGUUCAUUUUCAAUGUUACAUCUGAAUGACAAGCAAAGUAUUACAUAGUAUAUUUAUUUGUACUUUGAAAUCCCAGAAUAAUCUGAAAAAGGCAGGAAAAGGAUUGAAUCUAUUGCAAUGAUGAACAAUAUGAAAACCAACAGCAACAUGAACCAUGAUAAUGAUGAUGAACAUGAUGGAAAAAAAAAGAAAAAAGGAAUUCAGAUUGAAUAGAGGAAAAUACAAAAUUGCAAAUGAAACAGAGGAUGAGGAUGAGGAAGAUAUGGAAGAUGCAACAAUAACAACAAUAAUGU